rnacentral:ncRNA from 2 species
UUCUUAUCACGAGUCAGGGGAGGAACUGGUCCUAUGAUCCUGCAGCAACCGCUUAUCUUUACUAGAUAAGAAAGGUGCUAAUUCCAGCAGACAUGCUAUGUCUGAGAGAUGAGAA